ensembl:lncRNA
AUUUUUCUUCAUGUAUCUCAUCAACAAGGAUGAAACAGAGCACACAGGCCAGGAGUCGUACGUUUGGAAAAUGUACCAGGAACGAUGCUGGGAAUUCUUCCCCGCUGGCGACUGUUUCCGGAAACAAUAUGAGGACCAGCUCAAUUAAAACACACACACACACACACACACACAUGUGGAUGGCUCUAACGAGGCGAUUCUAUCUGCUGGAACGCUUUCAACACAGUGAACAUGUGAAGCCACACUUUCCUUCCAUCCGACGCUUCUUCAUUUCAUCAAUGAACUCACAGACAGAUUAGGAGGAGAGGAGCAGGAUGUCAGGAGAGAACGCUGAACGCUUCUUUAGACGGGGAUCCGGUGCCUUAUGCAAGAUGAAGAUGAGCCGGAGCGAGUGCUGGAACCCCUCAGGACUCGAAGAUUCUCCUCUGCUGAUCCGUUCCUUGCUUUGUUUUCCGUUCUUUUGAACAUCACCGACUUUCCUCCGUCGUUCGCCAAGAAAACAUCAUACUGGAGAAAAACGCAUUCACACUAGAUUUAGUUUGAUGCAGAAGCAAUACCCAUUCAGGGAGUCUACCCUACACCCUACGCCCCACAACUUACACCUUACACCCUACACCCCACGCCCUACACCCUACACCUUACGCCCUACACCUUACGCCCUACACCCUACACCUUACACCCUACACCUUACGCCCUACACCUUACACCCUAGACCCCACCCCUUACACCUUACACCCUAUGCCCCACACCCUUUGCCCUAUGCCCUACACACCCUACACCUUACACCCUACGCCCCACUCCCUAUGCCCCACACCUUACACCCUACGCCCCACGCCCUACACCCCACACUCCACGCCGUACACCCUGCACCCUACGCCCUACAGCGACGGAGGGCCGAACAUCAGCGUUUCCCUGCAGGAGCUCAACUCACGUUUAAUAACUGCAGAAAAACAUCAUGCACAGACUCACAAAAGAACUGCAGGAUUGAGACAGUUCCCAUCCUUCGGGAGACCACUGCACUUUCUUUCAUAGCCAUGAUGAAGACCAGAAGCUUUUCUUAUUUGUUCUAUACAAAACAAUGUGAAUCAUUGCAAUAA